UACGGAUGGAGCAAGCGUUGUUCGGAAUCACUGGGCAUAAAGCGCAUGUAGGCGGCUCUGAAAGUAGGGUGUGAAAUCCCCUGGCCCACCCAGGGAACUGCAUUCUAAACUUCAGGGCUUGAGUGAAGAAGGGGAGAGAGGAACUCCUGGUGGAGCGGUAAAAUGCGUAGAUAUCAGGAGGAACGCCGGUGGAGAAGUCGUCUCUCUGGUCUUUUACUGACGCUGAGAUGCGAAAGCUAGGGGAGCAAACGGG
rnacentral:rRNA from 1 species